rnacentral:rRNA from 1 species
ACGGAGGAUCCGAGCGUUAUCCGGAUUUAUUGGGUUUAACGGGAGCGUAGGCGGGUUGUUAAGUCAGUUGUGAAAGUUUGCGGCUCAACCGUAAAAUUGCAGUUGAUACUGGCAUCCUUGAGUACAGUAGAGGUAGGCGGAAUUCGUGGUGUAGCGGUGAAAUGCUUAGAUAUCACGAAGAACUCCGAUUGCGAAGGCAGCCUGCUGGACUGUAACUGACGCUGAUGCUCGAAAGUGUGGGUAUCAAA